AAAAAUUCAAUUUUAAAUAUUACUAAUUAAUUAAUCAAUAUGUACAUCAUAAUCAAACCUAAAAGGACAUAUUAGUAUUAAAAAUAACACAAUAUUUCAAUACAAAAAUAUAUCAUAAAGUGUAUUAUAAUUUUACAAAGUAAAUUGAAAUGUCAUUCACUUCAACCACUACGAUUUACAAGAAACUUCAAAUCUUGCUUAAACUUCAAAUCACUACAAAAACUUGCUUAAACUUCAAAUCACUAGCAUCCAAACUCAAGAUAGGAUCUGCAACGUUAUCAUGAAACUUUAGCGGGUUUCAUCAUGGUAUCACCUGGCUGCAAAGUGAAAUACACAAUAAGUAACUUCCAUCCAAACUCAAAACAUGGAUGAAUAUAGCAUACUUGAUGAGUUUAGUACUACCCAGCUAGUCAAGUUAGAUGGUAGAAUAAGACAAGUUAGUUGACAAGAAUAUAUUACAACAAUAACAACAUAAUACACAGUGAAAUUUCACAAGCGUUUUUGGGGAAGGUAGAAUAUACGCACAAGUAAUGAAUUAUCCCCACUUACACAUGUCAGAGAGCAAAAGGAAAACAAUUACGAUUGUUUAUGUCCAGCCAAAUAAUACAACUUACAGGGUUAAUACAUCAUUAGCUACCUUUUGGUGCAACUCAAACCAAUUGGGUCUGCGAUGGCCACAGGCCACUACUCCCCUGUACUAAUUUUAGUUUCUAAUGAAAUGCUUCAUCUUUCUUUACCAAAAAAAAAAAUAACAACAAAUGGACAUUUAACUUUCAUUCCAUCUUCACUAACUAUCUAAAGGACAAAAUCAAAUAAAUAAUAAAUACAAUAAACUCAUAAGAUUUGUAGAGCGCAGCAGAACGAGUUGUGCAUGACUGCUUAUAAGAACUUUUAUCUUCUUCAAUAAUGCAACCAUAAAUAUUGACACUAUAGCAAGAAAAUAUUGACACUAAAGCAAGAAAAUAUUCACAAAUAUUUCCAUCUUUAAGAAACUGAAGUUCUCCAAGGUGUACAUUCUCUUACCCAAUGGCAGUGUGUGUAUUCUAUAAAGGAAUUUUGCGCACUCCAUGUCUAUUUUAGCUGAAUUAUGUCGACAAGAAUGUCACUGUUAACUCAUGCAGUAACAGAAACUGUUAAUCCUCCGGCUAAUAAUAAGUUUUCACUAUCAACUUCAAAGUAAGAAGACAUUAAGAUUAAUGUCAGAAAGUAGUCGAAAUCACAAGCUAAAGACAAUAGUUAUUACAUCUACAAGUUAUACUGCAUUGUACAACUCACUCUCAUGGAAUGCAGAUUAUUUGAAUUUUGCUCCAUGGCCUAUAAAGAAAUAUUCUUCGUGCUAAGUAAAAAAUGACAAACUCAUUGCACCCGUGCUCAGCACAUGCAUAUUCCCCGAUAUGUUGUUGGUCUUUUUAAACAAUGGUGCAGCAAAAGAAGGCUCUUAUUGAAUUUAUUAAGUAUAGAAGAGCUUUAAAUAGUCAACUUGAUAACAUAACCAAAUGAUAAGGCGUUAAAAAACAAGAAGAGUGAACUCACUGGUAAGUGGUAACAGGAAGUGAAGUCUAGUCUUGACGCUAUCAGAUUCUCGUACUCAAACUCAGUUACAAGCUAAAUUGCAGCAGUAAGCUAACAGUAGAGCUUGUAGAAAUGGUAUACUCCACUUGCCAUUGAAGCUGCAUUAUCCCAAAUGAAAGCUUGUAACUACAUGAGAAAAGAAAAAAGUAGUCUUAAAAAAUAAGGAAAAUUGUUACUGCAACAUUUAUCAUACUAAUUAUAUCUGUCAGAAAGAGUGAAAACAACAAAAUUCUUAUGUUCGAUCACAAUGAAGAAGUACCAUUAAUUCUGUUUGAGAGUCGAAAUUCACGUACAUUAAUAUGAUUUUAAUUAAUAUUAAUAGUUCUUUUCCUUCCCAUAAUCCCUUUAGAUAAAACUAAACAUAGUUUAUUUCCAUAUCUAACUCAACAAACAAUGUAAACAUAUCAACAGUUGAAUAUUAUCGAAACAAUGAAAACUUCAUCAUACAACUUUAUCACUUCUUACACAGAGAACUAUGAACAUAUCGUCGUACUUGUCAAUCCUUAGUGUUUUUUUUAGAUUUUGCUUGACUUGUGAUUACUACCUGCAUUGUCAACAUGCUUUGAACUAAUUCUAUACACGACUAAAAUUACUAUCUUAAUACAAUAGAAGUUAUAUAACUAAUUUAGGUAUGCUAAUGUUUUCACUUUUCUCCAGUGAGAUUAUUCUUUAACCUUUUAGGAUAUCAACUAUUGUUAUGAAUUGAAUGUAUUCAUCAAUUUGAAAUUCCAAAAAAGCAUAAACUAAACUAGAAUCAAGCGAUCAAGCAUAACUUGAAAUACAUGAGAUCACAUUGCUACUAGAGUAAAAUUAGGGCAACUCACUUUAUGACUUAACUUUCAAGAAUUCUAAACAUCGAACCCCAAAAAUUUGGACGAUUUGAAAAGCAAAUUAAAAUUUCGAAAGCAAAUUCAAACGAUGAGGGGGAAAAUACCUUAGAUUCAGCGAUUAACAGCACCAAAAAAAUCAAAAUUAGCAAUUUUUGCUUAUAACCAAACUUGAAAAAAAUCAGCUUCUUCAACCAUUGAUUAUUCUUAUCUACUAAACAAAAGUUGCAAAACUCAGCAAUCAACCAACAAUUUUCUGGUAAGAACUAAUACAUGUUGAAUAAAUUUGAAAUUGAAAGAAAUUUGAGAGCGAGAGAAGAGUGAGCGACCGGUGAGAGGAUGAGAAAAGACUAGAUUUUUCUCCUGAGUCUAAAACGGUUCUGCGAUUUUUUGGGGAAAAAAUGAAACUAGAGCUAAAAGGAAACAAGAUUGAACUUUAAGCAUUAUCUUAAGGAAUAAAUAUCUAGGGGUUAUAACCCUCAAUGUACUGAAGAAAUAAAAGGGGUUGAGAUAACCCCCACAAUUAAUAUAUUUUUACGGAGGUUAUUGCAACCCCCUUAAUUAAAC
rnacentral:lncRNA from 1 species